GUCUAUGGCCAUACCACGUUGAAAGCACCAGUUCUCGUCCGAUCACUGAAGUUAAGCAACGUCGGGCUCGGUUAGUACUUGGAUGGGUGACCGCCUGGGAACACCGAGUGCUGUAGACUCCC
rnacentral:rRNA from 1 species